ensembl:lncRNA
CAGCCUUGCUACAGAGAGCGCUGGCUUGCUGUUUUCAGUUUGUCAUUUAUCCAUGAAGUCCAAGACAUUUCAAUUCAGGUCGAUCUUUAAGAUGAAGCUGCUGCUUCUCCAAUGUGCUGAAAAUGUUUUAAGUGCUUUGGAAAAACUAAAUAGAUGUUACUGUACAAAAAAAAAGAGGUACUUAAAAGAAUGUAAAACUUAUAAAAUACAUAGGAUACUUUUGAGUUUCCUGUUUUAAAAUGAACCCAGGAGGACGCUAAGAUUACAGAACAGAUUCUAAUCUGUAGCAUUUUGCCACCCCUAGAUGGCGUGAACUAAAAGCCUAAACAGCUUUUAAUGUUAUUAUUGCUACUGACAGGAGGACUUCUCAAUUAAGUUCUGUUACAGGAAAUUCUAACCUAUUUUCUACUGCCACCGUGAGACUUUCCUGUUAGGUACGUGCAGCUCCUGAAGCAUUUGUCUGCUUUUGGUUUCCAGAAACAUGAGCCUUUCAUCUAUUACAGGUCUGGAAGGGCUCUCUCUUACUUAAGGUCAAAAAUGUCCUUGAAAAAAUAUUUUGAAUGACAUCCAAUUGUUACCUUGUGGUUCUAUGCAACAGUCUGGCUUGAGAUCGAUGGUGAAGUGCACACAGGGCACCAGGAAAACCUCAUUCUGCAACAAAUACACCUUGGGAGAGAUCAUCACGUAUCCUGCUUUUUAGCUACAGAAGAAAAGCAGUUUUAUUGAUGGUACAUUACUCUGGUAGGUACUUACUAUCUUUUUUAUUAUUCUGUUUAAUAAUAGAAAGGUAUAGAAGUAAAAGAAUCAAAAAUCCUAGCCCAAGCUGUCUCUUGAAGGCGUUGUGUGACAUUCAUACAAAGCCUAGCCCAGCAGUGCUGUGCUUCACACCAGUUCUGCAGGUAAUGGUUAUUUCUAACAGCUUCUAAAAACAGUCUCACCUAAGUUGCAUUGUCCUUUCAAGGAAUGAGCUCUGCCAGGCUUCCCUGAUGUUACACAUUACGCAUUCCUGGCACACCUGGGCAGAGAAGCUUGAUGUACCGCAUGCCUGAUAAAUUAUACUCCUGGCACAGCCUCCCUCAUUUGGUAUCUUCUCAGCUGUGUGUGAAUCUGCUAUGGCAUACAUCCUUGCACCGAAGUCACCAUGCUGGUGAUAUCCUGCCUGAGUACAGCACAGCUGUUUGUGCCACCACCAGCACGCUCAGUGCUUUAGCAGUACAGACUUCAUGAUUUUUUGUGUUUUAAGAAAUAUGCAUUUGUUUUCCUUAUCAACUGCUGUGUUCAAAGUAGUUUUUUCCAGUCACCACAUUGCCUGUAUUUAAAAAUCUGCAAAGCAGUAGAAGUGAAGCAAAUGGCACUGUAAUUGUGCAGCUAUCGUGGAGCAUCGAAUGAAGCUGCCCGAGUUCACUGCCAAUAUUUCCUCCAUUGAUCUGGCCACUGCAGCCCGGGGCUGAGGGCCCAGCCUGUGCACAGUGCACAGCUGUAACCACACGGUGGAGCUCUAGCAUUCACAUUGCAAGCACUAACACCAACUUCUGAUGCUUCUGCCCCAGAAUUUCAGUAGCGUCACCUGCACUGGAGCUGUACUUGGACUCCCACUGCCACUUUUGGUGAGGGAAUUUCUGCCACCUCCUCCAGCCCCCUGUGAAGACCCCACACACCCACCUUCCACAAAGGAAUAUAAAUCUCCAGAAACACGGCUUGAAAGAAAUUAGGAGUCACUACUGCCCACUCAUGCAUGGAAUGAAGCACAUCUCCUGCAGAAAAGUAAAAAACCAAAAAAAAGGAGGAAAAAGAAGACGACCAUGCAGAGUGUCAAAAUCAGUGCAUAAUUAAGUGCUGAAGAGCAGAAGCCAGGGUUUCUUAUUUCCUACUGCAUGACUACAACAGAGCAAAACACCUGCACUAUUUCACUUAACAAAGCAGAAUGGAAAGAAAAGUCUCCUGAGGCUUCUAAGCUUUUACAAAUACUUUAUGGGUGCGUAUACCUGCACGCAAAGACUCACAGAUCUGUGUAAAUGAUGUUGGGAGUAUACUGAAAAUGCAACAGAAAACUGUGUAAUGUGCAGUCUGAACUCAUCUUCUGCAGAUGUGAAUGCAAGAUUCUGUGACAUGACAGAAAAAUCAGGUUUUCAUCUUUCAGAUUCAGCGUACACUAAGGAUGUAGCAUACAGUAGGGUACAGAUCUGGCAGGAGACUGAGCAACAUGAGGUAACGCAGUGGAGUAAGGGAAACAACUGCACUGUGAUGUCUUAUUUUCACAAAUCCUUUUGAAUACUACGUUUGUCAAUCAGUACGCUGGCAGCAGAAACAUGGAUAUGAGCAUACUGCAGUUUAGCUACGGCUCCAAAUGCGAAACGCAUUGAGAACCAUAUGGCAAUAGAAACCAUCACUCCAGUUGUCUGAUCCUGCUUCAAACAGGAAUGUGCAUUUUAUUUACCAAUAAACGCACAUGUAUUUAUUCACCAGAUCAGUGCCUCUUAGGACAUGCCACAUUAGUAAGCAGGCAAUGCUUUUGUUCCAGCAACCUCAGUCAGUUUAUCAAAAUGCAGAUAACUGAAAGGAAAAGUGGAAGAAAUAUAGGAUUGUUUUUUGAAGACGAAAACUGACUGAUACUUAUUGGCAACAUUUGAACUUACCAAAACAUUUAGUAAUGGUUGUUUUUCUCCACGGAACAGCAAUUAAGAGAGCCCUCUCAUCUAUUAACAGCAUGUUACAGGCAGCUUGUUUUGCAUAAAGGUUGCACGUUAACAUAACUAAUAAUUACACCAAUUCAGCAAACAUUCAAGUUAGUACACAUCAGAACAUUUCCAGCAAUGCAGUGUUGUGUUAUUAACUGACAAAACAAUUUGACAUCUGUUGCUUCCUAUAGAUCACGGGAGCCUUUUAACUGCAAAUGAAAUGAUGCUUCCACUGCCAACAGAGGAAAAUACAGAAGGCAUUUAUCCAAAGGAAAGUGAAAAUAAGGAUACUGCUUGGUAGUAGUAAUAGACAAAGUAAUGGGAUGAUGUGUCUGUUUCCUUCUGCCAAGUCUCUGAUCUUAUGUAAAGCAAAUUCCUAGUAUGACCAUAUGCAUCACUUUUGCAUUUUAAGAUAUUUGGUGAACAGAUUUAUAAAAAUAUCAACCCCAAUACCGCUAAUUAAUAAGGUCCUUUUCACGAAGACAGCUACUAUAGGGCCAAAAAAAAGUUAUUAAACCUCCUCUUGAAAGCUGAGUACUGGAGAAAGGCUGCAGGGGUUGGAGCGGCAGCUGCAAUGAGCCCAGGGAGCUGCGGCUGUCCCACAGCAGUGCCACAUGGGGCAUGGGGCCCUGGGAGCUGCUCACCUACUUGGAGAGUGGGAUGGACACCCUACUCGUUAAAUAUUGCUAAGAAACAUUAUGGGUUCUGACAGACCCAUUUUCCCAGGUUCAGAUAUGCACUGGCAUUGACCCCACGCUGUCAGGUACCAUUCAGCAGGACCACUGUGUGUGUUUGAAGUGAGGCAGUUUCUCCACUACUGCUUUUGUUAUGCAGACAGCUGCCCGUUAACAGUGCGAUUAAAGAGAGGCACAAAAGAUGUGCAGAAGGCAGAUCUAUCAACGGGGCUGAACGUAACCUCCCGCACCGGGCUGAGUC